UGGGGAAUAUUGGACAAUGGGCGAAAGCCUGAUCCAGCGAUGCCGCGUGAGUGAAGAAGGCCUUAGGGUUGUAAAGCUCUUUCGGCGGGGACGAAACGGUUCGUGACAACACCACGGACUAAUGACGGUACCCGCAUAAGAAGCACCGGCUAACUACGUGCCAGCAGCCGCGGUAAUACGUAGGGUGCAGGCGUUAAUCGGAAUUACUGGGCGUAAAGCGUGCGCAGGCGGUUUGUUAAGACAGGUGUGAAAUCCCCGGGCUUAACCUGGGAAUUGCGCUUGUAACUGGCAGGCUAGAGUGUGGCAGAGGGGGGUGGAAUUCCACGUGUAGCAGUGAAAUGCGUAGAUAUGUGGAGGAACACCGAUGGCGAAGGCAGCCCCCUGGGUUAACACUGACGCUCAUGCACGAAAGCGUGGGGAGCAAACAGGAUUAGAUACCCAAGUAGUCCCUGAGCGGGCUGGCAAGGCGCAU
rnacentral:rRNA from 1 species